CUCCAACAGAUGAACACUCCUGCCCAACCUGGUGUCAUCUGCAAACUGACUGAGGGCCCUCUCAAUACAGAUCAUCAAUAAAGAUAUUGAACAGGACUGACCCCAGCACUGAUUCCUUAGGGACACCACUAGUGACCAGCUGCAGGUGGAUGCAGCACGGUUCACCACCACUCCCUAGGCCCAGCCAUCAGCCAGUUCUUAACUGCAAAGAGUGCUCCUGUCCAAGCCAUGGGCUGCCAGACUUUCCAAGAGAAUGUUGUCGGAGACACUGUCAAAGUUUUUGGUGAAGUUCAGGCAGACUACAUCCACAGCCUCUCCUGAAAGGGUCACCUGUUCAUAAAAGGAGAUCAAGCAGGACCUGCCAUUCCUAAAUCUCGUAGCUGGGCCCGAAUCCCUUGGUUAUCCUGUAUGUGCUGUGUGGUUGCACAAAAGACAAUGCAUUCCACAGCCUUCAUUAUGUCAAUUUAUUUGCUUUUUAACGUGAUCAUCAUCACAACCAUCUAAAAAAAAAUUACUUUAUAGUCAAUAAUUAUUGCUUUUUUAUGGAUCUUUGGAUUCUUUAGGAGAAGGAUUGUUUUGUGCUCAAAGCUGGCCUAGGUGAUGUAUUCACAACCUACCUCAGCUGAGAAGAACUAUACAAACCCAAAGCAUCAGAUGAUGUGGCGCAAGAAUAAAAAUUAAUUCUACUAUUAUGCUUUAUGUAUCAUCAGUAAUAAGGUUUCUUAUUUUCUAGGCAGUUUUGAUACAGUUCACAAAGAAAAUAUGGGAGAAAGGGGUCUAUACCUAAGAGAAAAUGAGCCUAGAAAGGCAAUUGUGGCCUGGGUUCAGCAGAUUUAAUAAAUGGAUAAGCACACCUAUCCUUAUCUAAGCAGAAUGGCUCUGGGCAGUGACAGGUAAUUGAUUCUUGUUCUAUCUCAAAAAAGGUGAGGCAACACCAACAGUCCCACUUUGGAAGCUGAAAACUGGAAUCUCGGAGAAGCAGAACAAUCCCCUCUUGGAGAUGACUGCAGUCAGCUGUUGGAUUCUCGGUAGCCAAACUCAGCCUUCGAAUCUAAAGAAGAACAAUUUACUGCCUAAAUCGGGAGUUCCUUGUUGCAGCUUUCCACUCCUACCCCUGGCACAUUCACAGGACUGAAUGCAUUCUUUCAUAAGGGAUGCAGUGGACACUGAUUUGCCACAAUGUGAUCCAAAACCAAGGGUUGAGUAAGUGAUAAUUAAAAGAUCAUAUGCCUCCUUUUGAAAGUCUUGAUUUAAUUCCAACCAAGUUAUUGCAUUCUGACAUUCUAUCUGAAUUUCGGCCUUUUAACGCAGCUGCUAGAUUGUAUUCAACAGCUGCACAUCACAUGCCAGAAUGCAGUGCUCCUUGAUGGAAAUGGAAACUAUUACUGGUGUUUUAGAAUGCACAGAAGAAUCAGAUAUUCCUGUAAAAUAAUUCUGCCCUGGAAUAAAUAAUAUAAUGAAAUUGCAGGUUUGAAAACUGGGCUGACAAUGCUACUAGAUGAAGAUGAAAGCUAAACACCAGGACUUAAAUCAGGUGCCUGAAGCAGAGUUGAAAGAAACAUGUCCUUGUCCUAAUUGACUUUUAGUUCUUGCAUUCUUUUCUUUCUUUCUUUCCUGGCUCUGCUGAUGGAUAAAUUUCUUGAGACUGACAGAGCAGUCUUUACUCAGUUCUUCACAGAUGGAAAAAUUUUCUAUCUGCAACGUUUUCGGGCUUGCAGGAACAGGAACAACAGUGUAUCAGCCACUGGCAAUGACAUUAUGUGCAACACAAUUUCUGCUUCUGUGGCUAACGAAAUCAAAGGCCAAAAAUACUUUACCAAUCUCUACUGAAAAAGUCUGGCAUUUCCAUUAGUCAUGAUGGUAAACAAUGUUCAUCUUUCAGGCCUGGGGGAAGACAGUUUAAGGAGCUCUCAAAACACCAUAGUUCAUUACCAUUUGAAAGGCUGAACUACAGCUGUAUGAAACAAAAUAUAAAAAAAAAAAAAAGAACUAAAUAAAGCAAGAAUGUGAGAGUCUGUUAGACCAUCUAGAGCAUUCAGCUCUACUGUGGACAUGGCAGGAGUCUGUCCUCCCACACAGAGAUCACAAAUGCCAACAGGGAUACAUGUUCCUAGCCAUGGCCAGAGCAUCAUGGCCAGAUGUAUUUCUGACUGAUGGUGAUGGUUGGGACUAUACUGCAAAUUAAAAGCUGUAGAUGUGCAGUGUGACCAGAGCUCUGCUUUCCCUCUCUGAAUGAGCCCUAAUUGGAUGUUUCUGAAUACCUCAGGCACCCAGCACUGCCUUCAGGGUGAUGUACAGGCUCCAGAGAAGAUAAAGAGCUCAGGCAUGUCUAUGAUCUGAAUUUCUUGUGACAGAUUCCAGCUGGCAACUUUAAGCACAGAGGUUCUGUGGUGUACUUUGUGAGGAAGCCUAGUACCUGCUACUGGCUAUGAACCUAGAUAUUCAGUUAAUUUAUUGGGAUUUGGGACUUCAUAUUUCUGUGCUGCAUAAAAUGGGAGCAGUGGCAAGCACUUUUAGAUUUCACUUGAAAAGUCUACAUAAGGGCUUAUAAUAUAUUUUUCUGAAAUUUCUCUUGUAAGUCACCCCCUAACAAGCCUUGGCAGUCCUUCCUUUGAUUAGCAGUCAAGAUGUGAUAAUGAACAAAACAAAUUGCCUCACCCAUGGAGAUAUGUUUCUCAGUCUGAAAGACUUGAGUCGAUUUUGAAAAAGGAAAAUCACAAACCACCAGAUUCUUGAAAAUAGUUUAGACCCUUACAUCUCCACCAUAGUAUUUAUGCUCUUAAUUCCUACUGAUUUUACAGAACUGAGUCUAAAAUUUUCUUAAGAACUCUCACUACCUAAACUGAUGGGAAAAAAAAAAGCCAAGAGAAGAAGAAAUUACCAUUAUCCCUACUUUGCAGAUGAGGAACCAAGGUAAAUGCCCAACAGACUCAUAGCAGAAGUGUAACAAAAACUAAAACCUGAUCAUUUUCUACCAUUUUUCUUUUAUUUUCUAAAUACCACCUCUACUGCCUUUGUUCUCCCGCAAAAACAAAGCUAAUGCUUUAGCUAACAGUAGUAAUCUUGCUCUGCCUGUCUCACAUUUCCUGAAUAUUCAAUUUUCUUCCCUGAUGGUUUGUAGGUUUAGCUGUAAUUUCAGGAUUUAUUUUAACAGCAGUCUCUUACAGAAAAGAGAAUCAUAAGUUCCAAAGAGUAAAAUUUUAGAGACUGAAAGCUAGAACUUACAUUAGAACUUACAUUACUACAUUAGAACUUGCAUUCUAACUUACAUUAGAACCUGAAAUAUGUCAUCUCUACCAACUAUCAAGCCCAGCUCCACAAUCACUAUCUUCUUAUAAUAAUUUUAGGUACUUCUGAUACAGCAUAGUCAUAAAGUAUGAAAUCGAAUUCUCUACCUAGGGAUACAUGUAUGUGAGAAAGCUUUUUGUGGCUCUCUUUCAUGAAUAUCAGAUUACUUGAAAAGUUGAAAACCAAAAAUUCCAAGAAUAGUAUAUUUCUGAAAGUAUCACUACUUUAUUGCUAAAGCAUAAAGAGAAAGUCACUCUGUAUUAGGUGUUUCAGAUACUGACACUCGAAGUCAGUACAUUUAAACAUUGAGAGUGAUAGAGACAGUGGUAAAAUACUGAUCAUGCUUUCCUUUAUCUAUUUAAAACAAAAUUUUGUAGCAAUGAGCUUUGGAUACAGUUUAAAUUUACUCACACACUGUUCUAGACUACUUGUUUAAGGGCUAAUCAACAUCUGCACAUAAAAGCUGAGAGGGCUGGGGGAGGAACUCUAGCAGUCUCAUCAGAGAAAACUGGGUACAGGGAGUGAGCUACACCUGACUACCAAAGCACAGUCAGACCAUUGUCCUUGUGUGUAGCCCACCAAACAAAUCUCGUUCCCCACUGACUGAAGGAGGCAGAACACUAGGGAUGAAGUGGAAGAAAGGUUUUAGGGAGAAAAGGAAAGGUUCAAAGUGGACUGGGGAGAGGUAAGAAUGGGAAAUAAGGGUAAUUAACAGUUCAGUUCCAUGUAAACUCAUGGCUUGUCAGAUUGAAAUGUGCACCUGAUUAUUGUAGUCUACCCUACAAACUCAUUACAUCCUAUUUCUAUCUCCUGUCUGGGUGAACUGCUCUGAGUGGUGCCUUUGGAUGCCAGCGAACUCUCAAAUGGAUUAGCCAGUGAAGAAAGAGUCAGGUUGCAAACCCCCAGGUUCAAAUGCAGAUCCCACACAGCUGGAUAGAGCAAGAGGAUGUGGGGCCAGCUACUAGGUCAGCUAAACAUCCACAAGUAGCUCCUGGGGCAAUCCAUUUAUUUUGUGCAAAUGCACACACAUAUAUGUAGAACUACACGUUAGGGCGUUGUUGAUGUGCGUGGCUCCUGUGUGAGUUUUGUGUCCAUGUACCCAACCACUGGGAGCAGCUAUUCAGCUUUGUGACAGGCAGAAACUGAGAUCAGAGUCCUACAUAAGCCUCACAUCCAUGGGGCUGCCUGAUUGGGCUGAUCCUAGCACACCAACAGGCAAUGUUUUACCAACAAACCCAUACUUUGUUUAAUAACCUGCUCUCUGCCUUCCACUCCAUAUACACUAUUUUGUGAAGAAAGAAUUUCGAUGGGCAACUUCUGCCAGAGCAAUAAAAACUACUUAUACAUUAGGUAACUAACUUUGAAAACACUAGUUUCAUCAUUGUUUUUCUAACAAUAUCUGUCUGUAAACAAUUUGAAACAAAAUAGAGUAUUUUCUAACUAACAAUAAGAAUGGUCUAUAUCUCCCAGAUACCAGGUGGGAAGACGUAUUACUCAAUUACCAGGGUAUUCUUUUGUUUGGCUCCAUUUCAGUAAAGCUAAUGAGAGCAAUAAAAAUAGCAUGAAGUUAUUUGGCAUUGUCCCAUUACAGAGGAACAGAUUUAAUUGAGGGUGAUAAACGGGAGUUUUUUUAGGUGCAUAUUUAAAAGGGCAUCAAUAAUGUGCAGCUGAAUAUGGCAGAAAUAAAUGCUUGUAGUUAGUCAACCAUGGCAUAAGGUGAAAUGUAGUUUAAAGACAGAGCUCAAUGAAUGGUUCCUGCUUUAGACAGGACAGAAAUCUGCUCAAGAGUGUGCAUGCUGGGUACACUGUUUGAGUCAAGAUUGGCUAAAUAGAAUCUUCUACUACUUUGCACUACAUCAAAACAUACAAUUCUAUCCUUCCAGAAAAUUUUAUUCUGCUUUCAUUACUUCCUUUGUCAGGAAGUGGUAGUAUAAACUAGUGGCGUGUCCCCACAUGUGACUGACAUAAAAUGUGUUUUUUUACCAAAUUUGCAACAGUGCUGCAAGUGUUGGCUUCAUCAUAUCACCAAGUGGAAAGGAUCAGGAUAGAGUAAACCUUAACCUUCUGCUGUAACCAGACCAAUGACUCUCAUCCAAGUAUUUCUACAUCAAACAACCAUUAUUCAAAUCGUAUUUAUUGUGACAGACUUGAGAACAGAGACAGAAUCCUGCUGUCUCGGGUAUUGUACAAAGAAGAGUUCCUGCUCUUAAGAACUGAAAAUAUAAGUAGCCAAUUAAUAAUACAGCAAGGAAAAAGGGAUCUAAAAAGCAGGUCAAUCUGGUAUAUUUUUGGGAUGAGAUUAAAGAUUAUUUUAUUGAUAAAAUAUUGUCAAAAUAUCCCAUAAACUGGAAACUGCCUAUGAAUCACCAGUUUUAGAAAAUUCAUGCUGGCAUGUCACAAAUAUUUUUCAACCAAAGUCAAUGAAUGAAAAUUUUCAAAAUUCUAAAAUGAACAAGUAUCAUCAAAUCACAUACAGGAUUUUGUUUUGCAGUUUUCCAGUAGCAUAUUUUCUGAAAUCUAAUAAAAUAUUUGUAGGUUUUCCAAUUUUCCAACAAAAUCAUGCUAUGAUGAAAAAUUCCUGAUAAUUUUUAAUUAUACAUAGAAUUCCAAUGAGUAAUGCAAUGGCAUUAAAAUCUUACUAUUUUGACAUUUCUGGGGGAAAAUGUUGGUGUAGAAGUGAGGAGUUUUUUUUACAGAGAGACAGAAAUUAUGAAAAAUUUAGAGAAAACAAAGGAACACAACUUUGGCUGCAGUAAAGAGAACACAAUAAUGGACAUAAGUGUGAGAGGUUAGAGGUAAUAAGACAACAAGGAAUGACACAGAAGUGGGAAAGAAGAAAUAAUCUGUUGGGACCAGGCAGUAGAAGGUCAGCUGAAGCUGUAAUUUUGAAUGUAUUCCAUGAUCCCAUAUGAGUUGCAAAGCUCCAUCCCCCGGAUGCUGACCCCCAAUAGCUUUUACUUGGUGAACUCAGGCUAUGGGGUUGGAUGGAGGAGAAGCAUCUCCUGUAGCCUAAUACCUGCAAGCAUCAGUGGGGCAAUGCUGAAAAAAGCUGCAACCAUAGCUAUAGAGUCUCUUUAUUCCCUCAUAGUGGGACAGCCCAUUUUGGCUGAGUCUGGGUCUGGAGUCUCUCUUCAAAGCUUUAUGACUGUGGUAAUACUCUAAAAGAAAGAACCUGGCUGCAGGGGAGUGAAUUUUCUACUUCAAUCACAAAUAUGCUUAGCAAUUAACAGUAUUAACAGUGGGAGCAAAGAAUAACAAUUGUUUUCUGUUUCCGUGCUCUCUUUUUCAGGAGGUUCCUCAGUAUGAGAUUGCAAAAGUAACUGUUUUCUUUGUGUUUUUCUGGGACUUAUUGUAUACUUACAUUUGAAUUGUUUAAGUGACUGUAUAGUUAUUCUGUGAAAGGAUGCAAUUACCAAAAAUAACUACUCCAAUUAAACUAAUAAAAACAC